rnacentral:rRNA from 1 species
CUACGUGCCAGCAGCCGCGGUAAUACGGAAGGUCCAGGCGUUAUCCGGAUUUAUUGGGUUUAAAGGGAGUGUAGGCGGUCUGUUAAGCGUGUUGUGAAAUUUAGGUGCUCAACAUCUACCUUGCAGCGCGAACUGGCGGACUUGAGUGCACGCAACGUAUGCGGAAUUCAUGGUGUAGCGGUGAAAUGCUUAGAUAUCAUGACGAACUCCGAUUGCGAAGGCAGCGUACGGGAGUGUUACUGACGCUUAAGCUCGAAGGUGCGGGUAUCGAACAGGAUUAGAUACCCUGGUAGUCCACACCGUAAACGAUGGAUACUAGGUGUUGGCAAUGAAUAAUUGUCGGUGCCGGCGCUAACGCAAUAAGUAUCCCACCUGGGGAGUACGACCGCAAGGUUGAAACUCAAAGGAAUUGACGGGGGCCCGCACAAGCAGUGGAGUAUGUGGUUUAAUUCGAAGAUACGCGAAGAACCUUACCAAGGCUU